rnacentral:rRNA from 1 species
GUCUAUGGCCAUGCUACCCUGAACAAGCCCAAUCCCGUCUGAUCUCGGAAGCUAAGCAGGGUUGGUCCUGGUUAGUACUUGGAUGGGAGACCAACUAGGAAGACCAGGUGCUGUAAAUG